UCGCGGGGCAGCCCGCCUGGCCCGCCGGCGCAGGUGAGCCCUUUUCAUAAAGGACGCGGGAAACUGGGGCCUGUUUACCAGCUCUAUAAAUGCACGUGGAAGAGAAGAACUGGCCUUCGAGGUACAGCUGCUAGCUGAUCUCUUGUGAAAAGGAGCCUUUUGGAAAGGGCGCUUAAAGGGAAAACGUGGCCACAGGUCCUGAAGGGGCUGCUUCUCAUGGACCCCCUUUGAGUAGUGUCUCUUGAAUAGCCGUGGAAAAUGAACUUAAUAUAAAGCAGACACAGCCCUCAAGCGCUCCCUGACUCGGGACAGCAUCCCUUCUGCCUCUUGAAGCUCGUUGACUUUGGAAAUCACCCGCGGCUCUGUGGCCACCUCCCCUGUUGGCUGAAGCUUGCCUCGCCGCACGUCCCUCUUUGCGCAGGUCUGCACGCUCCGCAGAGGUAACUGAGGACUUUCCGAGUCCAGCUGACUGGAAAGAGGCGAUGGCCUAACAAAACGGCCUGGGGAAUUUCCAGCACGAUGGGAAUUUGCCAAAUAGCUCUUCUGUAGGGCUGACGAGGCCUACUAAUGUUUGCUCCUCAAAGUCAGCCAUAAUUACGAAGAUAUUUACAGAUAAUCCGAGGAAGAGGAAUAUGCCUGUGAGCCACGUUCCAGAAGCUAAUACCUGGCGGGAUGUGUAUAACAAAUUACUUGCUUCGAGUGUUACAGCUGAGCUCAUGGAUGGCAUUCUUACUGGAUUAUUAAAGGCUUCUCAGGGUGUUUGGGAAUGCCUCUGUUUCAAGUUUAAUUCCACAAGUCCCUGAGUGAACACGCUGUGGCAACUUCAAACAAAAAUCAGAUUAACCAAACCAGCCUCCUCUCCUGGGGAAGGGAAACUGCCCUUCAAAAGGUAGUGCUGGAAAAGAAAAGAUAUUGAGAUCAUCUAGUCCAACUUUUCAAGCAGAGUAGCGAUCCCCUCUAUAUUAUCUGAGAUGGAGAGUUGUUUCUGUGAUGAAGCAUUUACUACCUCAUGGUCUAGUCUGCUGCUGGACUUUGUAACUGUUAGAAGGUUCCUGUGAUAUUGAGGCGAGUUUUGCCCACCUGUGGCUUCCAUCAUGGGUUCCACAGUCACUGGAGGAGCGUGAAGCUUUCACGAAGUGUUUUUAGGGAGACAGGACGGUAGAGCAGAAGGAGCUUAGGCUUCAGCAUUGGGGAGUCUUGGGAUCAAAGUGAACUCUGCUACUUACUAGCU
rnacentral:lncRNA from 1 species